UCUUUAUUCCUGCUGCAAAGAGGAGAGACUAUGUCUGCUGCAGCUCCAUGAAUCUUGAUUUAGUUGUUGUCUUGCCUUGUGUAUGUGCAAAGCAUUACAAAGAUGAGUUCAGUUAGCAACUCGGCACACCCUUCUGCUGCUUUUUCCCUGAUUUUAUUGUAUGCCUCUGUAUAUAUUUAAUAAGUGAGGUUGAUGGGUUUGAGAUCAUUUCCGGCUACAGUAAGAAGGAUUCAUCUUUGCUGUUUGCGGCUGGCUGAAGCUUGAUUUUGUUGGCCCUUCCUCUUGUGUGUUUGCUAAGACUUGCGAAGGUGAAUUCAAUCUCCCUACAUGGUACAACCUUCUACGCAUUUUCAUAUUCACUGGGUUAGCUUUGUUAGCCACAGCACAGCAGGUUCAAAUGUUCUCCAUGACUCCAUGCAUUUAGAAAAGAGAAGAAGCUUAGCUUUAGUAUUCCAGGCUUUCCAUUUCCACUUCUUGCGAAUAAGAUAAACCAUGUUUGAUUGCAAUAGCAUCAUGUUUGAAUAUGUUUCACUAGAUUUGUCCAAUAAUUUUGUUUGCAUCUGAUAGGCAAGUAUUCGCGAAUUUCAUCCCUUCUUACAAAUAGGAUACACCAUGUUUGAUUGAAGUAGCAUCAUGUUUGUAGUUAUUUCACUAGAUUUGUCCAAUUUUGUUUGCAUCAGCUUUCUGUCUGGUAGAAAAGUAUUCGGGAGUUCUAUCCCUUACUCUAACCAUGGUAGUAUUAUUAUAUACAUAAUGAAUAUUGCCCAUGCAGUACAAACAGGUAAACAAGGAUGGUUACCACAAGAAGAGGAUAUACUCCUUUUGUUUAUCAGAUGGAACCACCUGCUUUCUACUUGACCCGUUCAGCUAGAUGUAUUUUUAAAAAUUUCAUGACUGCAAACCGUGUAAUCUUCGUUUUGGAUUUCUGAACUAUUACAUAGUUUAGUACUUUGCAUGCUUAUUUGGAUCAAUAUUCCAAACUACCAGCUGGAAUAUUUGGUAGCUGUAAUAUAUGAUUAGACACAACCUAACAGGCUGCGGAGGCAACACAGUCAAUGCCCAUGCAAAAGGGACUAAACUUAUUCGGCUUGUGAAACAGACUUCUAUAAAGGGCCUAAGAUUCCAUUCCAGAGCCGCUCUUGAUGGAGUUUCUUCCCCCAUCCGCGCCGCGACACCAGGAGAGAAGGAAGGAGAGGGAACCAGAGAGCGAGAUCAGGGAGGAGAAUAAAUUCGAGAGGAGCAAGGAGAGCCGAAGGAGGAAGCCCAACAGGGACGACGACCCGGAGCCGCGCCGGCCGCACGGCUGCUGCGACGCCGCCCAACGCAGCCGUUCGCCCUCGAGCCGCGCCGCGCUAUGUCCUCGUUGCCGGGUACCUCGACGCCGAGCAAGCGAGCACGAGUUCGACGACGACGUCCACGAGGGGAAGCAGAUGACAAGCCGUCGCUGCCGAGCCGCUGGAGUGUGACCUCGACGCCACCUUCGUUGCUGCCGCCGACGCAAGCGAGAAGAGUGGACGACGAGGCCAAGACCGAACCACGAGCAUCCAAGACGAACCGCGCGCACGGCGACGACGAAGGCCGCGCCGACCCGCUGAACCGCGAGCUCCUCGCCACGGCCGCAACGUCGUCUUGCACCGCCCAACGAACCGUCCUCGAACCCCACGGUGGAUCAAGCCGGCGGAGUCCAUUCACGCCGCCUAUCACCAACAAAAUCCAUCUGCACCGGAGCGUGCCACCCCCCUCAUGAGUUCAUGAUCGCCCACCCCCAGCAAGUACUAGCGGCCUUACUUUGAUGAGGACAUCACCGCAUCGGAUACACUCCCCGUCACGAAUUCUACACCAAGUUCAUUAGGAGGUCCAAUGACAAGAUCUCGUGCACAUCGUUUGAAUUUUGAGGUGCAUUCAUUUCUUAUGUUACAGCCUAAUAUUCAUGAGGACGGGGUGCUACUAAAUUGUUUUGAUGUCUUAUUGUUUAGGAACAUGGGAUCAACAAAUACACCAGCUUCAAGCUCUGUACAAAAGCGACAACAACUACAUGCGCAAGACUGAGUCUACAUGACAAGUACCUCUACUUCACAUGGAAUUCUGUACCAACAUGUGUCGUCUUAGGGUCCAUAUCAUACAUGGUUGGAAAGAUUAUCAAGUCUACUUUCCAACCCAACAAACGGAGCACCAUUUGGACUUCCCAAUAAAGAGUUAUGGUUGAUUUACUGAAGGCUGCACAGAAGCUGAGAAGACGCGCGAGAACUUCAAGGGACUCCAUGAAUGCUAAGCCAGUUGGCCUUCCACCUCCCCAAGAAGUGGCCUGCGACCAUAGCCUUCUAGGAGAGUUGUUUCUUUUUAUAAAUAUCACUUAUGAACUGCUCCAAAACUUGGGUUUUGCUUAGAUUGAUUCUGCACACUAUGUGAGAUUUCGCCUCUGUACCGGACCGACUAGGCUGCUACUUUGGUAUGUGAAAUCCCAACUUGCAAUUUCAGAUUCCCUUUACUA